GAUGAACGCUGGCGCGUGCUUAACACAUGCAAGUCGAACGAAGCAAUUAAGACAGAAGCCUUCGGGUGGAAGACUUAAUUGACUGAGUGGCGGACGGGUGAGUAACACGUGGGUAACCUACCUCAUACAGGGGGGAUAACGUAUAGAAAUGUACGCUAAUACCGCAUAAGCCUACAGAAUGGCAUCAUUCGGUAGGAAAAACUCCGGUGGUAUGAGAUGGGCCCGCGACUGAUUAGCUAGUUGGUGGGGUAACGGCCCACCAAGGCGACGAUCAGUAGCCGGUCUGAGAGGAUGAACGGCCACAUUGGGACUGAGAUACGGCCCAGACUCCUACGGGAGGCAGCAGGUGGGGAAUAUUGGGCAAGUGGGGGAAACCCUGACCCAGCAACGCCGCGUGAAGGAAGAAGGCCUUCGGGUUGUAAACUUCUUUACCAGGGACGAAGGACGUGACGGUACCUGGAGAAAAAGCAACGGCUAACUACGUG
rnacentral:rRNA from 1 species